AUGUCUUGCUGCAGCUACUGGCAUAUCCUGUCCAACCCAUCCCCCAAUAUGACUGCAUUACAAACAAGGCUAGAAAGACAACAACAAAAUUUAAGGACUGCACUGAAGAUGCGCAGGGAAAAAAAAUACCCAUCACCAAACAAACAAAGAAAGGACACACACUUUCAGCUGUAGGAAGAGCAGCGUGCAGACCACGAAGGGCAUUCCUGGAAGGACCUCCAGGCAGAGAUGGCCAUGUUUCAGCAUGUGCUAUUGCAGAACUCGUGGCUGAAACGACUCCGCUGCACAGAAGUGAAGGGAUUCCCUCCACCAGUGUGUCUCCAGCACACGAGUCCCUGCUGUCACAUCAAGGUGGCCCAGGUGAGCCAAACAGAAAGGUGGGUGUAUAACACAGGGAACCACUGUCAUUUUCUGAGGCCAAACCAGCAGGAUCCUUUGGUCUGGUACUUGCACUGUAGUCUGGCAAAGAGCAGCGUUAGCAUAGUGAGCAAGCCCUUGUGGGGUCAUUAAGAGAGAAGCUUCUGCAAAACUUUCCUGAAUGGAUUAAGAGUUUUCGGGGGGUUUUUUGCAUACAAUAGUUAUAAAUAGCACUUACCCCUUUCUGAAGGCUUCUCUUCUUCCAAGCCAAAUAAAAAUUCAUAUUUGGCCUUGGCAACAUUCUGGGCAUGAGCCGAUACAUCAUUAUCCCACACAAGUGCUUCUGCCUGUAGAGUCAAAAUAAACAAAGCUUAUCUACCUUUUGGUGGAAAAACAGCAGCAGGAACGUGAAAUCCUUCCAGGUGCGCUGUCAGGAAGGAUUUUCAAAGUAUUCAUUUAACUCUGUCACCACCAAGAUCAUCCAGAGCAGACAUGCGCCAACUCAGAUUGCUUUUGAAGAGCUUGCCUCUCUGUCUUUGAACCCAAGCAUUUCAGCAUUAAGCAGAGCACCCAACCACUUAUAUCUUUAGCCGGCUUACCCACUGCAAGGGCAGCAGCAACCUGGCCAACUACAUCAGUAAUACCAGUUAGUGUUAAAAAUGUCAAGGGAGUAGUGUCAGAAAUAGCAAAUUUGAAUAUUUAUGUCACAAAACUGGGACCCAUGAGAAAACUAUAAAUGGGGCAGGCUGUUUCUUUGAAGAGAGGCUGGGGCGCAGAGAAAGGGAGGAAGGAAAAAGGGCUACAGCAAGGAUGAUCAAAAAUGGGAAAAAGGGAUAAGGUAUGCAAAUGUGUGGCGAGUACCAUCUAAGGGUCUCCGUUGGGCAGCCCACGCCUGACCGCUGCUGUCUAGUUCAGGACAAUAGCCCAACCUGGUUUUAUAACAAUACCACACAAGUCAAACCUGCUUAUCUGGCCAGGAGGCAGGGAGGAGGCACAGAGUGGUGAAGCCAGCUAGUCCUGGGUGGGGAUGGAUGGACAGAUGAAUUGAGCAACCCCUGCCCACCCAGGUCUGGUGCCACCAGCACCUUCACCCUGCUCCCUCCUUGUAAGGAGCAGUUUGACAGAGAAAAGGUCCAGUUUCUCAGAGGAGAUAAAGGCUGCAGGACUAAGAUCAAAAUACCUUUCUGAACAAGUGGGGACAAAUCAAAUCCCCAAGAUAAAGCACACACCAGCAAUAGGCUGUGGUGCAAAAACUAUCUGCAGUCGGCAUUAAGUGUCUUCCCAGCUGGGCAAGAGGGAGCCUGUAAUUCUUCUGUUUGAAGUGACAGAUGAAAUAAAUCAUUAACUCCACAAAUUCUUCAGUAAACUUUAUAUUCACGCUCUGUGUUUGAGGCACUCAACUGUUGCAGCAUAGCAAGUCAUUGCAUCGUUCAUAUUAAAGACCUUAGCUUACAAAAAUAUUCUUAAAAAAAGAAGUCAGGUGAAACAUUCUGACCCCCAGGACAACAAUAACUUUUAUGCAUUUCUAUCAAAUACCUUAGGAGAAGCGUCAUCUACAAACAUAAAUUCAAAGUACAGGGGACAGACACGUAAUUCACAGGUCAAGGCUCUUUAAUCAGCAAUGGAUGGAAUCCAUACAUUCCUCCACCUCUCCAACAACUACAUUUUCUUCCACGAGCAUAUUGACAAAUAGCUAUCUUGCCCCAUGCCCUUGAACAGUUUUGCUCCAGGUUUUCCUGGCCUUUUACUCCAUUUCUACUCCUGCCUUUCUGCACUGCACCAGUUCUGCAGGAUUUAGUCCAACACUACUCUGUCUGAAAUAGGCAGCAGAUCUUACACAGGGGUCUUGGACAGAUUUAUUAUACUUAUUUAUUCACUGGUCCAACUACUCAUCACUAGAGCUCUGAGUACUUUGAUGGACGUGCUAACACUAGGGUACCAAAUCCUUUGGGAAAAAUGUGAUGAAACAGAUGAAGGGUUUUCUAGCACAAAGAUGACUUCCAUGAACAAGACAAAAUGAGCUUGAAAAAAGCCUCCAUGUCUCUCCUGCUUUUACAGGGCUGCAUUCAUUCACUGGAAGGGAGGCAUGAAGGGCUAGAAAAGGAAUAGCUGGACCCAGAGCUCACACAGGAGAAGGCUCUUGUCUGCAACAGCUUGGACAGGAGUAGCUUACAGAGCCAGACAAAAAUUCAACCUACCCAGAAAUGGAUGUGAAGGGAUGGGACGGCUAAAAACUAGCUGGUGCCAAAUCCCAGUCACGGAUGAAUGAAAUGGAAAAUAAAAUGAACAGAAGAGUCCAGUUCCUGAGCAGUCAGGAAUUUCUGAUCUAUACACCUCUGGGACACAGUAUUUCCAUACCUCAGCCUUGCUCUUUGAGACUUCACAGACAUCUGGUGCAGUGAACAACCCUGCCAGCAAACACAUGUUCCAAGGGUCUGUAUUUGCCUGCUCCUCAUCGUAAAGCAACGGAGAAGAGUCUGGUUCACAGCACCCUCUGCAUUGCCCAAUAACAGGCAGAAAUAAAUUGUUAGAUUAAUGGGGUUUCCAUGUACAGGGCAGCAUUUAUCAGAACUAGGUGCGUAAAGAGAGGCUGCAAGACCUUUGUCUUGGCAUCUAAAAGGAAUUACUUGAUUUUCAGAAGUGCUCAGCACCACUGAUGAGAAUUACAGAUACUGGCUUGUGCAUGGGAACAGCUGAACUUAACAUCUAUUUAGGCUGUCAGAGCACUAAAAGGAACUGUGUAAAGAAACUCCAGAUCCAGGCUUAAGGAAAAAGUUUAUCAUAUUUCAUCCAAA